rnacentral:rRNA from 1 species
UACGUAGGUGGCAAGCGUUGUCCGGAUUUACUGGGCGUAAAGAGCGCGCAGGCGGUCGUUCAAGUCGCGUGUGAAAGCCCCCGGCUCAACUGGGGAGGGUCACGCGAUACUGAUCGACUCGAAGGCAGGAGAGGGAAGUGGAAUUCCCGGUGUAGUGGUGAAAUGCGUAGAUAUCGGGAGGAACACCAGUGGCGAAGGCGACUUCCUGGCCUGUUCUUGACGCUGAGGCGCGAAAGCUAGGGGAGCAAAGCGGGG